rnacentral:rRNA from 1 species
AUUGAACGCUGGCGGCAUGCCUUACACAUGCAAGUCGAACGGUAACGGGCCUUCGGGUGCCGACGAGUGGCGAACGGGUGAGUAAUACAUCGGAACGUGCCCGAUCGUGGGGGAUAACGAGGCGAAAGCUUUGCUAAUACCGCAUACGAUCUACGGAUGAAAGCAGGGGACCGCAAGGCCUUGCGCGGACGGAGCGGCCGAUGGCGGAUUAGGUAGUUGGUGGGAUAAAAGCUUGCCAAGCCGACGAUCUGUAGCUGGUCUGAGAGGAUGAUCAGCCACACUGGGACUGAGACACGGCCCAGACUCCUACGGGAGGCAGCGGUGGGGAAUGUUGGACAAUGGGCGCAAGCCUGAUCCAGCCAUGCCGCGUGCAGGAUGAAGGCCUUCGGGUUGUAAACUGCUUUUGUACGGAACGAAAAGCCUUCUUUUAAUACAGGAGGGUCAUGACGGUACCGUAAGAAUAAGCACCGGCUAACUACGUG